GACGAACGCUGGCGGCGUGCUUAACACAUGCAAGUCGAGCGGAGCGGCGAACGGGUGAGUAACGCGUGAGUAACAGCCCCCCUCUCUGGGAUAACAGUUGGAAACGGCUGCUAAUACAGGAUAGUGGGGGAUGACUCGGGUCCUAUCAGUUUGUUGGUGGGGUAGUGGCGUACCAAGGCGAGGACGGGUAGCCGGCCUGAGAGGGCGACCGGCCACAUUGGGCUGGGGUACGGCCCGAACUCCUACGGGAGGCAGCGGUGGGGAAUAUUGCACGAUGGGGGAAACCCUGGUGCAGCAUCGCCGCGUGCGGAAUGACGGCCUUCGGGUUGUAACCCGCUUUCAGCCAUGACGCGGUAGUGGCAGAAAAAGCACCGGCUAACUACGUGCCAGCCGCCGCGGUAAUAC
rnacentral:rRNA from 1 species